rnacentral:misc_RNA from 1 species
UCCGGCUUGUCACCGGCGGUUUCCCCAGAGUGCCCAGCGUUACCUGCUGGCAACUGAGGAUGGGGGUUGCGCUCGUUGCGGGACUUAACCCAACAUCUCACGACACGAGCUGACGACAGCCAUGCAGCACCUAACCACAGGUUCCCCGAAGGGCACCCCGAUCUUUCAACCAGGCUCCUGUGUUUUCUAGCCCAGGUAAGGUUCUGCGCGUUGCGUCGAAUUGAACCACAUGCUCCACCGCUUGUGCGGGCCCCCGUCAAUUCCUUUGAGUUUCAGCCUUGCGGCCGUACUCCCCAGGCGGGGCACUUACUGCGUUAGCGACGGCACUCAGAGGGUCGCUCCCCCAAGCACCUAGUGCCCAUCGUUUACGGCGUGGACUAC